CCUGGUCUGGGCACAGUGAGGCAAUGCCUGACAACUCCUUCCCGCAAAGCCCAGGGCUCAGUUUGGUCUAUGGGGUCAGCAGUCUGUUGCCAGACAGCUUAACAAGGGGGCUGUAUUAGUCUAUUUCACACCGAUGAUAAAAACAUACCGGAUACUGGGUAAUUUAUAAAGAAAAAGAGGUUUAAUGGACUCACAGUUCCAAGCGGCUGGAGAGGCCUCAUAAACACGGAGGAAGG